GAAGCUUUCUCAAGUCACUUUCCCAUGGAAUUUCGAGUCAUAAGCUUACAUGGACAUGUCUAGGGGAAAUAAAAAAAUAAAAAAAUUUAUGCUACGUGGUAUUUUAAUAAUAAAAAAAUCUCCUCUGUUCUUUUAUUCUCUCUAUUUAGUUAGAAGCCAAUGUCUCUCUUACUUUCUCCCAUGCUUCUCUCCCUCUUUCAGUUUCUAUACAUUAAACCUUUCACAAGUAGAUUCACUCUAAUCCUCCAUUCAUCAUCAAACUCUAAAAUAAUAAAAACUAUAAAAUUGCACGCAUACGUUAUAUUUAAAUUUAUAUCACCAAUUGCUCCACUACUGUCAAUGAAAACAGUGUUGUCGUCAUCGCCUUAAGCUGGGAUGUUCAAAACCUUCAACAAUUGAAGAGAAAUUGCCAGCAAUUCCUCAUGGCAUUCCUUACCAACAAGUUGUUUCAUUCAUGUACAAAAAUAACAAUCUCCCUUCCUUCGGCCAUACCAUCUCACAUCUCUCUCCUUAGUGUUAAGGCGGCUCAACGUCUCCAUUUCCCUUAGGUCACCGCGAUGCCAUAUCGACGAGAGUCCUUACUGACUGCAUAUAACUUGACCCAGUGCCUUUUUUCCACCAGCGACAACCCACUAAUCCAGCUGAAUAGCGCCAUCAAAGCUCAAGCUCCCCUUGCUUGUGUCAUAGCCAUAGACCCACUUUGCCUCUUUCCCUUCCUUUCCAA
rnacentral:misc_RNA from 1 species